rnacentral:rRNA from 1 species
UACAGAGGUCUCAAGCGUUGUUCGGAUUCAUUGGGCGUAAAGGGUGUGUAGGUGGCGCGCUAAGUCGGGUGUGAAAUUUCGGAGCUUAACUCCGAAACUGCAUUCGAUACUGGCGCGCUUGAGGACUGGAGAGGAGACUGGAAUUCAUGGUGUAGCAGUGAAAUGCGUAGAGAUCAUGAGGAAGACCAGUGGCGAAGGCGGGUCUCUGGACAGUUCCUGACACUGAGGAGCGAAAGCGUGGGGAGCGAACAGG